rnacentral:rRNA from 1 species
GUGGGGAAUAUUGGACAAUGGGCGAAAGCCUGAUCCAGCCAUGCCGCGUGUGUGAAGAAGGUCUUCGGAUUGUAAAGCACUUUAAGUUGGGAGGAAGGGGAGUAACCUAAUACGUUGCUACUUUGACGUUACCGACAGAAUAAGCACCGGCUAACUUCGUGCCAGCAGCCGCGGUAAUACGAAGGGUGCAAGCGUUAAUCGGAAUUACUGGGCGAAAAGCGCGCGUAGGUGGUUCAGUAAGUUGGAAGUGAAAUCCCCGGGCUAAACCUGGGAACUACUUUCAAAACUGCUGAGCUAGAGUACGGUAGAGGUUGGUGGAAUUUCCUGUGUAGCGGUGAAAUGCGUAGAUAUAGGAAGGAACACCAGUGGCGAAGGCGACCACCUGGACUGAUACUGACACUGAGGUGCGAAAGCGUGGGGAGCAAACAGGAUUAGAUACCCCUGUAGUCC